AGAGAGAGAGAGAGAGAGAGAGAGAGAGAGAGAGAGAGAGAGAGAGAGAGAGAGACUAGGCAGGACAGAGAGGAGAGAAGGAUAAUGAAUGUUUCAGUGCAGAGUGGCCAGCCAGCUAGAGUCGGUGUCAGCUGUAGAGAGGUCAGGCUGCAGCCAGGAGACACGACACCAAAGCUGGGACAGACCCAGAGGGACAGAGCUUCCAGAAGGACAGAGCUACCAGAAGACAGAGCUACCAGAGGGACAGAGCUACCAGAAGGACAGAGAGCUACCAGAGGGACAGAGCUACCAGAAGGACAGAGCUACCAGAGGGACAGAGCUACCAGAGAGACAGAGCUACCAGAGAGACAGAGCUACCAGAGGGACAGAGCUAAUAAAGGGACAGAGCUACCAGAGGGACAGAGCUACCAGAGGGGUUUUCAUCCCUGAUGUCAGAGACUGAACUGCAGUUUGAAUUCAGAGGAAAAAUGGGUUCCUAUCUCUGCUAACAACAACAAACUGCUGAAAGUGGAGGAGAGAGAGCGAUUGAAAGUAAGUAAGUAAGAAGGAACGCGGGAGAACAGGUGAAAGAGCGAAGGAGAAAGAAGUGUGAAAAAAAAGUUUUUCGUAAAAGGUUUCUAAAGGUUGGAAAAUGUUUUUCGAAAAAUAUUUUCAAAAAAUGUAUUUGAAAGUUUGAGAAACUUUUUGGGGAAAACAUUUCUACAUCAAAAAACGUAAUUAAAUGGUUGAAUUUUUUUGUUGUUGGAAAAAGUGGGCCUACAUCCGAAAAUCAAGGUCCAGAAGAACACAGUUCUGACAGUUACAGUGGGUACAGACAAUAAACCGUAAUUUCAUCAACCGUAAAGACAUCAUCUCAGAUUAUGGAACAGCGAUGCUGUCACGGACCGGUAAAUCAAAGCUCCAAGGAUGAAAGCGGACAGUAACCGACUAUCGCCACUAGAGGGCGUGUGUGCUCAUUAUGACUUAUUUACUCAACCACAGUAGCCAAUGAGCAAACAGCACAAUUCCGUCACGACCUGUGCUGUACACAUUGUGUUCGUCGUAUAAAGUGAACUAGUAACCGAAACAGUACAUAUUAAAAGACAUGUAAACGAAUUUGUUAGUUAAUGGUUAAAUGGAACUGGUUUGAUACACUGUUCUCAAUUUUAUUCAAACUGAGAGUCGUUCUAGUCGUUAGCCUAAUUGAAAUGUGUUUAAUGCUCUUCUAGUUCCACCACUUAUUUGGCACUUAUUUGCUUUUCACAAUGUAUGCUUCAUGUUUUGGCUAUCCACAAGGUGUUUGGGACUAUCUCGUUGUUUAUGAUCAUUGAUGCAGUUUUUGUAAAGUUCUCUCUUGUAAGUCGCUUUGGAUAAAAGCGUCCGCUAAAUGACUAAAUGUAAAAAUGUAAAUGUCUUUAUCGCGCUCGCUGCGUUACAAAUAUGCUUGAAGCAAAAUAAAUAUACACAUAAAUGAAAGUUAAACAGAAUAGAGAGAAAACACAAUCCCAGCACAGAGGUUUUAAGCAUACUGGUCAUGAAGUAUCUAGAACAUCACGUUUUGAGACAUUUAAAAGGGAAUGUGGCAAUUGAGCUGUGUCAUGCCCAAGUGAUAGUCAUAAUAGACCCCAAACUGUAGAUUUGGUUCAAAUCAGGCUUCCUAAAAACAUGCCUGACUCAUGGCGGGUGGAGCGCCAUCUGUCGGUCAUAUAUCAGAAUGCGUGAAAGCAAAAGAAAGAAAAACAUUUUGUGUCAAAUAUCCAUUAUGAUGAGGAAUCUGUGUCUGAUUCACAAAUGAACAAUUAUGCUAAAUGAUGACCACCAACCAGGAGUUAUUAAAUUAAUUAUAUUAUGCAAAAUGGCGCCCUCGCCGAAAGAAAACAGUUUUCAAAUUCAUUUAAAUAUGAGAAAUUAUUAUAUUUGACCAAGGAUAAAGCAAUAGCCUAUAUGUGGGGGUUUAUGUAUUUUAUUAAUUCACGUAUCCUUCAUCAAAAUUUCCCAUCGAAUGUGAGCAUGUAAAAUAUCUACGUGUUACGUUCGUUUUUGUUAUUAAAAUAUGUUUUCUUCCACAA